CACUGGCUAUGUUGCUGGUUAAUAUGUAUAAAUAAUCUAUAUACAAAAUCCUGGAUCCGCCUCUGCAAAGUUAUGGUCUAGACUCUAGAAUGCAUAAACUUAAUCCUGGAUCUGUCUCCUCCGGAGACAAGUUAUGCAAGUGGUCAGUAUAAUUGAUGGCUUGAAGGGUGAUGAUGAUUUGGUAAAUCUUUAUUCCCUUCCUAGUAUACUAAUCAGGCAUUUGAGAUUAUCCGACCCUUGUCUUGGUGGGGCAUGCUCCCAGAGUUUUGGGUGGUUUUUGCAGCCAUGGCGUUGUUGGACUCUCUUCUUGCCUGAGCUUAAACACAGUUCUGAGCCUCAAAAUUUAUGUGCUUUUUAAAAAAAAUUCUGCUAGUUUGGAAAUGGAUAUAGAUGGACUCAUACCAUUGCCAACUUGUUUGGGAUGAGGUGUAGUUGGUCCAAUCUAUUUAUCUGCAAACUCUUUUACCGAGGUAAUCCUCACUGUCCUUUGCUGUCAGUUACAACUCAAAUGAAAUUUUUUCGAUUAUAAAAGCCACUUUAUGGUGAAAAUACCUAUGACCUUAUAGUUUUCUUCUGUUCUUACUCUCUAUUUAUAAGCAAUGAGGCGAUGAAGAUUUUGGCAUCUAUGGAAAUUGAAUCAGUUAUAAUCUUCUCCUGAGCUGAAAACACUGUAUCUUGGUGUGGCAGCUCAGAUUGGCUGUGAGAUGUUGGUGGAACAUUUCAUUUUUGGUGAAAGAAUGAGGCCGUUGCUGAUGUUUGCAGCCUUCAUUUUUGGUGGUUGCUCUGUUUCUCUGAAGUUUGAUUGCCUAUGAAUUCUUUGUUUUCUUUUUUAUCAACGGCUCUUGCAUCAGGAAAUGAUAAUGUUGUUGAUGAUGAAAAAAAUUUGUCAACAAUGCUCACCCCAAGUAGUUGGCGUUGCCUAUAUGACUCUUAGUGUCCAUUCCGCUGUAAAACCCAGAACUUAGUGAAUGAAGCUGUGGCAAUCUUAUCCAGUAAGCUUGAAUUUUGAAAUCUCAGACAUUUGAGCUGAUUUUUAUAUUCGUUUGGAAAAUUUUGAGGGAACUUUUGAGUUGGUUUUAUUUUCUAUUCUCACAAAACUUGUGCCCUUUGCUGCCACGACAGAUUAGCCCUUUUUCUGAUAGUUUAGACAAAUCUGUGACUCAUUUCUGUGUAACUCUCAGUUCCUUCCACAAUUUGGCAGAUUUCUGUUCCUGGUCCUGAGGUACUUUCAUUUUACAUGUUCAUCUCCAGCUCUUAGCACGAGGUCAAUAAAAACUAUCAUUCAAUCCCAAACAAGUAGGGGUCAGCUAUAGGAAUCUGAAUCUGCAUUAUCCAUUCAGCUCCAUAUGGAUCCAUUUCAUCCAAUUUUCAAUAUUUUUGGGACUUUUCUAACAAUAGAUGUUCCCUGCAUUUUUAACUGACCCUAGUGAACACUGGACUUAAUGUAAUCAUGUAACAUGACAGACCUUACCUGUGCUUUUUAAUAUAAUUAUAUAAGUAGGCGUUGGGCCAUGAAAACCAAAUAUUUUUCACUUCUUUUUUGAAAUUUUGAAGUUGGAGUUGAAAAUGAGUUGUGUUUGAUUAUAGUUUUUGUAAAGAAUAUUUGGUUGUUUGAAUGUACUGAAAGUGAAAAAAGUGAAAACAGGGUUUUAGGUGUUUUCCAAAUUAAGUUGUAUUUGGAAUUUUCAUGGCCAAAUGCUGAUUUUCAAAUAAAGUGAAAAAUAUUUCCAGAAAAAAGUGAAAUUCUCAUGGCGAAACGGGUAUUGUCAUGUCAUGCUUUCAUCCUCAAUUUGACGCCCUUUUUUGUAUCUUGAGAAUCCAAAAGUUCUGAGGCUAUGAAGAUUAUCUUAAAAAGACUGAAAUAUUGGAGUUAAUUCCAAGGCAUGGCUUGGCAAAGACAACCUGGAAGGUCUGUGAAGGAUGAUGAGAAAUAGUAAGUUUCUUGUAGUCCCUUCUCACAAGGCAGCCGAUCUUUGCAGCCAUGGCCGUUUUAGCUCUGCUCUUUGAUUAAAUAGGCGAAAAUCUGAGCCUCCUUACCUCAGUUUUACUUCAGUUUGAUCACUGAAACAGUAUCUUUUAGAAGCUUUCUUGAAUUGAUCCAAAAAUUCAGUUAUUGCUUUCAAUCUUAAACUGAUUUGAUUUUCAACAAUGUGUGGGAUAAUUGGGUUUUCAUGAAAAAGUACCAACAAAUGGCAUGGUCUCGAGUCUUGAUGCCUUCAUGUCCACACUAAUUUAAAGCUAUGUUACUCAGACUCUCCUAAAAUGUUGUUGGGUGCGUGUCGGAUCCUUCAAAAGUAGUGUAUUUUUGGAGGAUCCGACACGGGUGCGGCAACACUUUCGAAGAGUCCGAGUAACUUAGAUUUAAAGGUAAUAACAACAUUGUUGUCCAUAUGAAAUUUCCAAAAAAAGAUAAUAUAAAAAGAAUUCGACAUGAACGUCUUAUUUUGCCCUUAAUGACAGGGUUUGUCGUAUACAUUUUCUAAUAGCAUCUUUCAUGAUAUUUGUUUUUUUUUCUUUUUUAUAUCAAUCAUUUUGAUUCAGAAUUCAAUGUAAAUAGACCCUAAAUGAUCACUAAUUUUAAUUUAGCCUUCAGAUACUAAUCCUAACAAUUUCAAAUAACAUUUACUUAAAAAAAACACAAAUAUCAAGUUAGAAUUAUCAACUCUACUUCGAAAUUUCAAGAUCCGUUCAACAAAGGUGGACUUCAAGUUUUACUCCAUACGAAAUCGUGCAGGUAAUUUUAUCUUUUCUUAGCUUUUAAUUAUUUAUCUCCAUCUUUUAAUAAUUAUAACUUAGACUCGCCCUGACGCCCUAACAACGUGCUAAGCAGUAAUCACCCUUUGGAAAACAAAAUGGGAAAAUGAAAUUUCUUUAUCUUCAUUUAAGACUUACGAGUCCUUUUGCGUGUUCUCUUCAUGCAACAAAGCAAAAGCUCAGAAGGGAGAGAAUGAGGCUACGAGGAGUUUUAGGAUUUUUGUUGAAAGGGUGGUUGCCUCUCUCUGCAUCAGCCAAUGUUUUCUCAUCACUGGCAUGCCCCCAGAUUUUUCUGGUGGUUUUUGCAGCCAUGGCAUUGCUGGAAUCUCAUUUUGCCCGAGCUUUAAAACAGAACUGAGCCUCAAAGCCCCAAUAUCUCUAUGUUGUUUUGGGAAAUGGAUAUGUAGUUGCAGAGCAAUGGACAAAGCAAAAGCUCGGAUGGAAGAGCGUACUCUUAUAAGAAGAUGGGAGAGCAUACUCUUAUAAGAAGAUAGCUGUUAUAGAAGGGUAAUUUUACAAAGAGCGUACUCUUAUAAAGAUGAUUGUUGCAGAGAUGGAGUAUCAAUCAAUAUGCAUUCGGAGCUUGGACAAUAUUUGUGUUGAAACUUAAAGGGUUUCCAUGCUGUAUGCUAAAACCAUGCAUCUUUCUGUUUCUUUCUUUCUUUUAUGCUGUCACGAGCAUUUAAUGCUGCCGGUAGUGGUGGUGAGUAUAAUUGGCGGCUAAAAAGAGGCGGUGAUGAAUUCUAUGAUGCUUUCAUUCCCUUCUGAGCUUAUUAAUCGGGCAUCUUGAGAUUAUCCGACCCGUAUCUUGGCGGGAUAGGACUCCAAAUUUUCUGGUGGUUUUUGCAAGCCAUGGCGUUGCAGAUCUCUCUUUACCUGAGCUAUAACACAGAUCUGAGCCUCAAUUUAUGAGAAAAUGGGAUUAUUUGACUGAACUCCAGCCAAUUCAGCUGCUAACCUUGCUCAGUUACGAUCUCUUGACUGGCAAAAAUCUCAGAUGGGAGAGAAUGAGGCUACGGAGAGUUUAAGGUUUUUUCGUUGAAAGGGUGGUUGCCUCUCUCUGCAUUAGCCCAUGAUCUCUCCAUUACUGUGAAGAACCGCAACAGCCCUUUCUUUGCUCUUUCGGAUUGAAGAGCGGUCUCAAAAAUUAGCUAUCUGUUGCAUAUACAUUCAGACAUCUGUAUAACCCUUAUUCUCAAUAACAACAUUUUACUAUGACAGCUAAAAAAUACUUAGACAAAUGGCUCUGUAAUAGAGAGAUUUGAUUGUAUUCCCCCUCAGUGGGAGUAUUGAUCAGCAUGCACUUGGAGUUUGUACAAUAUUUGUGUUGAAACUUAAAGGGUUUCCAUGCCCUUCCAUGUUGUAUGCUAAUGCCAUGCAUCUUUCUGUUUCUUUCCUUCUUUCUUUUGUUCCUUCGCUGGAGCAUUUAAUGCCGCUGGUGGUGUUGGUGAGUAUAAUUGGCGGCUAAAAAGAGGCGAUGAUGAUUUCUGUGUUUGUUUCAUGGAACAACAACAUACCCAGUGUAAUACACAGACCUUACCCCUACCUAGUGGAUUGCUUCACGGUAACAGGAUCAAAUUUGUCCCCCUACUGUUCUAAAAGGAUUAUUGUUGUCUCCCUUCUGAGCUUAUUAGUCGGGUAUUUCAGAUUAUCCGACCCGUAUCUUGGCGGGGCAUGACCCCAGAUUUUCUGGUGGUUUUUGCAGCCAUGGCCUCGUUGGACCCUCUGUUAUGCCUUAGCUUAAAACAGAUCUGAGCCUCAAUUCCGGGGAAAUUGGAAGUAUUUGACCUGGAAGGUUUGCAAAUCACAUUAGUUUAAGUCUGAGGCGGCGGAGAAAGCAGGGACCUGUUGGGAGUUUCUAUGGGUGGUCCCCCCCCCCCCCCCCCCCCCUCUGUCAUUUCCUCUGCCAAUGGUACUCAAAUGAAAAAUAUUUCCAAUUACAAAACCACCCUUGAUCGAUUUACUUAUUACUCCCCCUGUUCCAAUUAUUAGAGGCUAUGAAGAUUGUUGUUUGUGAAAAAAAUGAAUCUGACAUUUUACUCUUGAGCUGAAAAGACUGUAGGUGUUUGGACAAUAUUUGAUUGAUGUUGAUAAAAUAUAGUCGUAUCUUGGCGUGGCGUGGCAGCUCACGUGUCUGUGAGAUGUGGGGAGAACAUAUCCAUUUUUGGUGUUUCUUCUGUGUCUCACAAGACAAGGCUAACUGAAGCUUGCGGCCAUGACAUGUUUUUUAAAGUUCUUUGAGUUUUGUCUGGAAGAGAGUCAGAAUCUGAGCCUACCCCAUUACCUUUAUUCUGCUGAAAGAAUGAGGCGUUUCUGACUCGGAGAAUGAAUUCUCUGGGUUCAGAACAAGUUAUGCCGGCAUGGAGAGUAUGAUUGACAGCUUAAAAGAGACAAUGAUGGAUUUGUAUAUCUUUUGUAUUAAUCAGGCAUUUGAGAUAAUCCUACACGUAACUUAGCGGGGCAUGCCCCCAGAUUUUUCUGGUGGUUUUUGCAGCCAUGAUGUGGCCACUCUCUCCUUUUGCCUGAGUUACAACACAGAUCUGAGUCUCAAUUUCUGGGAAAAUGGAAACUAAAAGGAAAUUCUUUUUUGUUAAUUCAAAA